ensembl:lncRNA
CACGACCAUUAAACUUCACACAGAACACAGAAAUAACAGACUUAAACUCAGAGGGAUUUCUCAGAGGAUAAAUAGCUAAGUUAGUUAUCCAUGUUAUUAGCUAGGUAUGUUAGCUUAUCAGAUUAUUCAUUCUACAGCAUUUAGCUUCCUACAAUUAAGGCAAAUUCAUGGGGAAAAAACAGCAAUAACAACAACAACAGCAAAAAAAAAACCCAGACAAAUUCUGGCAUGUUUCCUAGUUUUCUCUACUUUUCUAUAUAUUACUAAAAAGACUAGCUUGCUAAGUUAUCUGUGCAAACUAUCUGUUAGGUUGCCCAAUGGUUCAUUUGACAAAUAAAAAGGUAAACGGUUAGGGCAGGUGAUAACAUUGCAAUGGAAAAAACACCAACAAAAAUCAAGGACUUGGCAAAAUAGUUCAGCUAAUAGUACAGCUACUUAAUUUACACAGUUUUCCUAGUUUUCUUUUCUAUAUUCUUUAUUAUAAAACAACUUUGUGGAGAAAAAAAAAAGUUUUACAGAAUUUCUCUCAAGUGCUUAGCCUUUCCUUCAUUUCAGGAUAAAUAGCUAAAGUAGCUAGCCAAUUUCCUCAGCAAACAUUAGCUAGCUAUGUUAGCUUUACCAGACGGUUCAUCUGAUAAUGUUUCAUUCCUGUGCACUGAAGCAUGUCAGCUAUAAAAUGUUAUGCAAAUAAAAAUAGAACACUCUCAGGUGGAAAGUUUAGACAAGUAGCUGACCAAAUGGUUCAUCUUGUAGAUUAUUAUCUUAUAGAUCACUAGCUAGCUAGCUAGAUAAACUAGCCAAUUUUCUCAGCAAAUAUUAGCUAGCUACUUUACAGCAGCUUUCUAGAUUAGAUGAUUCAUUUAACAAUUAAAGAUAUAGUUAUACUGGUGGGGGAAAAAGUAUACAAGAAACUAUAGGUUAUAGUAUGAACUCAGAUGGUACUGUUUUCUAUAGGAAACAUUUCAUCAGAAAAAAAUGUCUUUGAUUCUGCCAUGUGUCUUAAAGAAUAAGACUGAAAAUGAAUGUGAUUCUAUGGGGAAAUCGCACGUCUAGGGAACAUGUGCUGCUGUCUCUGUGUAGAUCCAUGGGGGAAACCCAGCACAUACAACACAAAAUGGAAAAAGAAUUUUGAUAGUCUGACAUCUCACUCAGAGCCAGACACUAAGAAAUGACAUUUGUUACAAAUUGUAUUGGGGAUGUCCCGUGGCCCAGCGCUGUUAACAGAACAGACGCUGAGGCAUAAAACACAGCUUUCAUUACAGUGCAUGGAUGCUUGAAAAAGUCACACUCAUUAUUUGAGACAUUUCCGUGGUAAUGAUAUAAUCUCAUGCUUUAUUACCUCUGUCUGCAAAACUUUCUUGCUGUCGUUAACCAACACAGAGAGUGCGUGAGUGUGAACAAACUACAUAUAUGUGACUUAUCAGAGACCAGACAUCAGUGCACAAGACCUGACAUUUUUAAACAGAACCCUGAAUCCACCCUGAACGAUCAAAAUCUGUAAUCAAUGUGAUCUAUAGAAUUACUUUAUAAUACAAUUGAUCCGAGUUGGUUUAAAUCUCAGCACGUCUGCCUCGCACCUCCAGGGUUGGGGGUUCGAUUCCCACCUCCGCCCUGUGUGCGUGGAUUUUGCAUGCUCUCCCUAUGCUUCAGGGUUUCCUCCGGGUACUCCGGUUUCCUAUCACAGUCCAAAGACAUGCUUCGUAGGCUGAUUGGCUUUUCUAAAUUGUCCGUAGUGUGAAUGGGUGUAUGAGUGUGUGUGUGAUUCUGCCCUGUGAUAGGUUGGCACCUCGUCCAGGGUGUCCCCUGCCUCGUGCCCCGAGUCCCCUGAGAUAGGCUCCGGGUUCCCCCGGACCCUGUGUAAGAUAAGCGGUACAGAUGGAUGGAUGGAUGGUUUAAACUACAUUCUACAAGUUAACUACAAGUUAUUCUAUGGAAUUUAUCCCUCGUUCAUCUCUAACUAUAGAGAGUGAUGUAGCAGCGCUUUAACCUUUUAUUCUCUCCAACUCCCUCUCAGCUCCUCAUCUGUCCACUCUGCUCAAACUGAUCAGCUUCCAAUGCUUCAACUUUCACACUCACACUGCUGUAAUACUCGUCAUCUCAUAGAUGGAGUUAUUGCUGUAACUCAAGAGCAACUGCACCGUAUAGCCAUGAUGCAUUCUGGGCUAACAGUGAAGCGUGAGAGGUGAUUGUAACUAUGUACAGGUGGUGAAUAUUUGAAAAAGAGCUUUUCUUUAGAGAAAGCCAAACAGUUGUGAGAUGUUCAUGUAUUUAUGGCUGUUUCCGGGUUUGGGAGAGUCGACAGUUAAAAAGUCGCCACGCACGGUUCUAGAUUCAGCCUGUAGAGGGAGUAGGAGUUAUGAUUUGACUGUUAAAAAGGUUUAUUAACAUUAUGCUUUUUUUUUCUCACUAAACUAAUGACUUGUAUUAACGUAAUACAGGAAUAAUCUUUUAUAUGAAUGUCUUUGCAGUUCAAAAAAAUGACAUUUUGGGUUUACAGAGUUAGUUACACAUUGUGCGACUAUUUAUAACCUCAAUGGCUGAGGUCUCCAUAAUAUUUGCAUGAGAGCCGUGCGCUCACACCUAACUAAUUUACAUACACAGGACAAUUCACACAAAGCCUAUCUGUGUGUGUGUGUGUGUGUGUGUGUGUGUGUGGGAGGGGCAAACAUUAACAGUGUACAUGCGUGAAUGUGUGGUGAGUGUUUCACUAAGCUCCCUCCCUUGUUAUCAAAGCAGCAAAGCAGUAUGUGUGUCUGUGUGUGUGUAGAAGCUGUUAAGCAGGAUUGUGUGUACUCUAGCAAAGCGAGGCUUGCCGUAUGUGUGUGUGAUGAGUCACAGCCUGACACAGCAGGAGGAUUAAUUACACUCCCUGAGUCUGUGUGUGUCUGUGUGCGCGUUUGUGUGCAUGGGUGUGUGUGUGUGUAUGUGUGGGUGUGUGUGUGCGUAGCAUGCAAGCCUGAGAUAUGCACGCAUAUAUUAGUGUUAUCCUGAGUAUCGAUGGCCAUGUUUAAGUAACAGAGUUCAGUUCUGCAGAAUUACAGUGUAUCGGAUACAGCUCACUGCUCUUUCCCCAGGACACUCACAUCAUCAAAUAAAACUCGACACUGCUCACACAGACUGGCCACACAGGGGAAUGUAGCUAAUGUACGCUAAAAAAGUCACUAGAAUGCCGCCGGAAGGAAGGAUUUUCUGAAGACACUGAGAAUAUGACAUAAUAGAUUAUGAUAGAUAAUAAUGUAUGUGUUUCUUACAGAAAAAAAGAACUGUUAUGUUUUUACAAUAAUAUAAAAAAAAACUACAAAGAUUUCUAUCAAGUAAUGACAAUACAGCCAAGUAAAGAAAUUAAACAACAGAGUAAGAGAAUAAAGAAGAGAGCAUUGGAGACAAACUAUGGUGAUUAGCGUUUGUUUGUUGGGAACAAUGGUAAUCAGUGAUUGGUCUCCCAGAACAGUGGUGAUCAGUGAUUUGUCACUGGGAACAAUGGUGAUCAGUAAUUGGUUGUUGGGAACAAUGUUGAUCAGUGAUUAGUUAUUGUGAACAAUGGUGGUCAGUGAUUCGUCAUUGGAAACAAUGGUGGUCAGUGAUUGGAUAUUGUGAUCUAUGGUGAUCAGUGAUUGAAUGUUGGGAACAAUGGUGAUCAGUGAUUGGAUGUUGGUAUCUAUGGUGAUCAGUGAUUGGAUGUUGGGAACAGUGGUGAUCUGUAACUAGUUGUUUUGGAACAAUGGUGAUCAGUGACUGGAUGUCGGGAACACAGGCUUGUGCAAGAGUAACUGAGACUUUGCACACAGACUUAACUCAAGCCAGACUUUACACACAGGUCGUGCGUCAACUAAACCUGCUUUCUCAACUCGUGAUGUGAGCUUAACAGUCAUAUUGAAUGCAGGAAAUUUCUAGAUGCUUUUUUUUUCUUCUUUUAAAAAAAAAAUAAUAAUAAAGCUAACAGAUCUAGCGAAAAAGUUUAGCAACACUGAGCAGGGCUGCACUCAAUUUUCCCCGGGCUCUCUCACUGUGCAAUCUCCAAACCUCAGAUGACCAUUAUCAUGACUCAGGCUAAAACAUGGUGUCUCAGCAGCUUAUUUGUAUAACACUCAAGUCAUAAUUUCUACUCACCUUUUAAUUUGGGCUGUGUAUGAUAAUGCCUGACUCCAGCAUGGCCAGAAAUAGCAACACUAUAAACAGAACUCUUUAUCAAAGUCAUAUCCUCUUGCAUCCUAUCAAAUUCUACAGAUCUCAUGACAGUUCAGGAAAUAUUCAUUUGUAAUGGCUAGCAGCUUUUCUCCCUCAUAAUUUGCUGUAGUUAUUAUUAAUAACAACUCUUAAUCUAACGCGAUUUCGAAUUUAAAUAAAGUAAAAUAGUACACACAGUCUUUACGAAUUUGAAUGAUUCUAGUUUUACAAGAUGGUGAGACAGCCAUGUGAUUUAUUUAUUUUUGUUCUUUGUAUCAGGCCUAUUUUUCCCUGAGUGACCCAACAGAACAGCGUUCAACCUGACAUCUAGAGAUCAUGAGUUCCAAUCCCAACGAUGCCACAGCCAGCCCUGGCCGGGUGUCCAAGACAGCAAAAUUGUCUGAGCUCUCUGAGUGGGAAGGAUGGAAUUAUGGCCUCCCGUGUCAAUCAGAGCGGCUCAGGCAUGUGGAGGAGGGUAGAUGAGUGUAUUCCUCUGAGGGUAUUCAGUUGUGCUGUGAUGUAGUAUGAGGAGCAGUUCAACACGAUGUGGUGGCUUCACUUGUCUUGUAGGAAGCAUGUGGUAGCAUUCACCACUGGUAACUGUUGUGUGACAGAUGAGAACUAGAUUGUGGGUGGGAAUUGUCAAAGGACCAGAUUGGGGGCAAAUAAAUCAAUAAACACACAAAACAUAAAUCUGGACUGGAAAUUAGGUCCAAAAGCAAAGCUAUUCAGCUCUGUCCCUUUUUCUAAAAAAAAAAAAAAAAACCUCGGUAUUAAGUACACACAAUGCACUGGAGAAAUGGAAGCUUUUUAAUGUUUUAAUUGCUGCUGCAAUUUCCCAAAAUUUUAGCAGCAGAGGGCGCUAAAAAUGACUCCAAUUUUGCAUGUUAUUUCUCAGACACACUGUAUAAUACCUAAAACGUACCAAAAUGAGAUUUUAGCAUGUUCUUUACUUCACUAAACCGAGUGUCAGAAGCCGGUUUAACUGACAAGGUCACGAGAAUCAGCAGACAUUUAUCUGGCCCAUUGCUUCUGCUCGAAACUAUCUGCAAUCUAAUCAAUCGUGACUGGCUUUCCAAACCUUGAGCCGGUCCUUACAACAGCCUGUCUACACUAAAAUCAUCUGAUUUAUAGCCGUCAGUGGGCCUUUUCAUAUAUAUCCUCUGUAGCAGUUUGACAGGAUCUGUGCGAGGCUUGAGAGGAAAAACUUUUUUACAAGAGGGAUCAAAUGAUCCAGUCCAGAGGCCUGAGUCAUACACACCUGUGCCUCAUCCACAUUUUCCCCUACAUUCUUCUCUCUCUCUCUCUCUCUCUCUCUGUCUCUCUCUCUCUCUCUCACACACACACACACACACACACACACACACACACACACACACGCACACCCUUUACAUACACUCCUAUUCUGUAAUCUCAAACUCCACAGUCGUCAUUUGGCUAUGUUAAGAUCUGGGCUGUGUCUACGUGCCUGGGUCGACUCUCAUCUGCAAACAAUUUGGAGGCGGUCAGUGGUUUUCCCAAAGCAAUGCAGGAAAUGUUCGCGCGUCUCCAUGCAAUUUUGGUUAACAGUCAUCCGAUACGUCUCUGUUGCAGCACUAAAGCCUCAGAGAGAGUUUGAGUCAAUGACUAGAGCUGAAACACGGCUUUGUAGCACGCUUGAGAUUAUGGAGAGGGAUAAUCAGUUGGUUCUGUGUGUAUUUCUGAUAGAUUAGGCCUGUCCUGAGUUUGACUAAUAGCCCAGCACACAAUGCACCAACCGGAGCACUUAAUCCACUUUGGGCAGGAGCGGGAUGGGCUCGGGGGCUGGAGGAAAUGACACGCGUCACUGUUAAUGGGCCAGAGCCUGGGAUGAUACAUCAGCAUUAAGACAUUUCACAUUCACACAGCUGAAACUGGGAACUAUUCACUCUCAGUCCGUGUGAGCGGCUCCACCUCCUCUCUCUCUCUCACACACACUCACACAGAGAAUCGGGAGAACACGAAUCACAAAUCCAGCAGUCUUAUGCAAAUCAAAUACACGCACACAAAACAGGCGCUCAUGCACAGGCACGCUCUCACACACCCCCUGUGUUCAGCUUGACACGGUGCUGGAUGCUCAGCGUUGCAGAAAGUCCAAGGCAGCAAUAAAACUGCCAGACUCCCACGCUCUCUACUCCCAACCUCCCCACUACAGCGGGACGUGCAGCAUAGACAUGGGGAGUCAGCUGUGUGUGUGUGUUUGAGUGUAUAUAUGUGUGUGAGAGAAAAAGAUUUAUUACAGUGUGUGUAAAUCUGAGCCUCAAUGUUUAUUUAUGUGUUUGUGUAAGUGUGUAAUUGUGUGAGAAAGUCUCAGUGCUUGUUAGUUUAUGUAGGACUUUCAGUGCUUGUCUAUGCAUGAGACAGUCUGUGUUGGAACCAAAUGUCCCCAUAAGGAUACCUGACGCUUUUGACCUUGUGGGAACAUUUGUCUCGUCCCCACAAGGAAAACUUGUGAGAGGUCCUUACAAGGAUAGCAAUACAUGUGUGUGUGUGUGUGUGUGUGUGUGUGUGUGUGUGUGUGUGUGUGUGUGUGUGUGUGUGUGUGUGAAACCUAUGGCACAGCCAGGCCUUAAUCAGCGCUCCAGUGAGACCAAAAAAGUUUUAGUACUCAAAUUCAUUUGCAGUAGUGGGAUGCUGUCCAUACUGCAUACCACAUACUAUGAGGUAAAAUCAUAGUAUUAUAAAUAUUUAUCUACAUUUCUCACAUAACCUUGCAACCCAUUUUAAACUCAUCUUCAUGCAGGAAGCUUGUCUCUUAUCCAAGUCCCUCCAUGUCAGAGCUCGACUGAACCUCUCAGUUCCACCAGGACUUCAUCAUUUUGCGAUCACAGAAAUGAACACAAAAUCAAGCAAACUCUGAAACAUUCAGAGGCACUUGCAAUGUUUCGAAAUGACUGCAGAUUUUCACCAGGGCCAUUCGGGCCAAGACGCAUUGUGUGACAUCAUCGCAACACACAUUCAGCCAAAACCCACUUCGAUUCACGUGCGUUGAACAUGAAUACAAAUAAAAGGUCUCAUUUAGCAACAAACACCACGUUAUAAGACAAUUGCAAUUUCGCCAAUUCAAGGAGUUUUCCGCAAAAACAGCACAAAAUACUCUGCAAACUGCAUCGCAAAAUUUGAACAAAAGCCAUAGCAAAAUCAAGCAUUGACUGACCUCCAGGUGGCUUUCUUUUCACUACAUAUUCUCAUUACAUAGGGUAUAACAUAAAACAGUCAACAAACCUACACGGUGCACUAUAUAGCCAGCGGGAUCGCAGCUGGAAAUGAACUACUUUACAUGUAAUAUCACUUUAACAUGGAUAAUUAACAAAAUGUAAAAGUGAAGUAAGCUAUAAAUGAUAUAUACCCCUUUUCCUACAUAAAGUAACAAUAGUCAUUUUUCCACAAGAGAAAAAGUUGAAGAAAUGUGUGUUUUUUUUUUUAACAGAUUUACAAUCGGUGACUAAAGGUUGACUAUUUCUAUCUAAAGCUAGAACAUUAGAUGUUGAUUUCUGCCUUUGAAUGUAUGUAAAUACUACGAAACUUUGUAUAGUGUUUGAAUUCAGCCAGCUCCUUGACACCCAAGUGCCCUCUCUGUCUCAAUACACUCCACACACACACACACACACGCACACACACACACGCACACACACACACGCACACACACGUCUAUAAACACAGCAGAGAAACAGUGAAGGAGACAUGUUAGCUGCAUGCAGGAAGGAGUUACACAACUUUCUGCAGUGUGUUCCUGUUCGUGCAGUCAUAUGAUACCAAAUUACUGAAUAGAGUCUCACCAGACAUAUAGACAGACAGACAGACAGACGGACAGACAGAACAGUGUGUUCUGAGUCCAGGACCUGUGGUGGAUUGUACACACACACACUUGUCGCUCCAGUUGUGGCUUUGGCAGCCUCUUUGCUUCCUCUCUACCUUUGGCUAAUGCUGCUGCCAGUCACACCAUCUGGAAACUUCCGUGCCAGCUGCUAUCCAAACCCCCAUCCUUAUUCAUUAAACUCCACACGUCUCCAGUUUUAUUUAUUUAUUUAUUCAUUUAUUUUUAAACAUAAAUUUUUGUUUGCUUUUUAAUCAUAAUUGUUGAUUAUUGAUUAUACAAAGGGUUCCAGUAGUAAUAUUUCACUUUCAGAUUUUAAAGAAGCAGUUUGGAUUUUUUAGAGCCUUAAAGUCUCCGCUUUACUUCCACCAACCACACCUCAUCAAAACUGUCCAAACUGCAUGCCUAAUGUGUUGGCUUUUUUUAAGAGAGGGAAAAAAAGGUCAGAUCUGUACAGUUCUAUUCACCUGUGAGGUGGAGCUUUUUUUCUGGGCCAGAAAAAUUACAGAAACAGAAGCCUGUAAACAAUCAGAUCCAUUGUAUGUAAUAUUGUAAAUCACGUAUUUCCCCCCUAAGGAAACCAUAUGAUUUUUACAGGUCUAAAAAAAAAUCUUUUAAAAAUCUUUCUAAAAACCUUUUGAUUUCUAUUCAUGUCAUACUUGCGAUUUUAUCCUUUUUCGAGUUUUUUUUCCAUAAAAAUUUUUCCAUAUUGUCAUGCUUUGUUUUAUGGUUUCACAUACACUGUCGAAAAUCUGGCAGCAUACUGAGAAACUCACACUCUACUAUGGCAUCACUGUACAGUACCAAGUCUGGAGUCAGAGUUAUAAAAGCAGCUAUGAUGUGUCAAUAUCUGAAUGUACUAAGGUUGAGACAGAAGGAAAGGUCUGCUCAUGCUGGAGGUGUUCAUAUCAAUAAUCAAAUCCUUUAAAGGGAGAAAUGUGUGUGCCGGCCAGAAACCAUAAACCUGUCGAGCACAAAAGGUCAGAGGAGCUUCAACUCCUUUUUUUUAUUUAAAAGUUAAAACACAUAUACAAAAAACACACACAGCCUAACAUUGUAUCUCAUCACUGCCCUGGCAAGAAAAUCAUCGAUCUCUCUAAACCAGGAGCAUUCAACUAAAAUACUUGAAUCGUUUACAGAUCAUUUGAAAAAGGUUACGAUUUGUUUCACAUUGAGCUUCACAAUAUAACUUUUGACUAGUGCCACAGACUACGAACAAAUGAGAUGUCUGCUCUGAAUUUCAUGCACAAAGUAAAGGUCGACCGAUUGAUUGGUUUUGCAGAUUAAUCGACACCGAUAACCGAUUGCUGGAACUAUCGAUUAUCUGCAAAAAUCCACACAGAUAGUUUUUUCCCAGUUGUGUCCGUAGCGGGAGCGACUGAGACGAGUCCGCUGUUAUUAUACAAUACGACAGCGGCCUCUAGAGGCAAAAUAAAAACUGACCACUUUUGUUGUGUUAUUUGAAGUGUGUUUUUUUAUUUAAUUAUUAUUCAUUUUGGAUGUCUCUAUUUUUAUUUGUUAUUUGCAGUGAUACUUUUUGGUUCAUUUUUGAUGUUUAUCUUUUAUUUACUUUAAUAUUUAUUAAUAGUUAAUAUAUAUUAAGAUGUAUAAAUUUAUUUCAUUAAAAAAAGGACCGUGCAUUUUCAUGCGACAGUCAGUAUUGUUUAUUUUUGUAAUACAGUUCAGCAAUAUUUUACUUUGAGUUAAGUUUUCAUUCAGUUUCAAUCAGUUUUAAAAACUAUCGGUUGAUGAAUUAGUUUUCGGCAGGUGCUGCCCAACUUGGUUAUCAGUACUGGUAAAAUCCAUUAUCGGUCAGCCUCUAGCAAGACAAAUAAACACACACUUCUCUGUCUACCUUUUAUUUAUUUAUUUUAUUUUAUUUUUUUUAAACAUUCUGUUUGUGUCGUCAAACAAUCCAUGUCGUAAGGUGGCUAUUCAGACCAGAGAAGGAAAAUAUAAUGAAAAAUCUAUGAAAGUCUGUCUGUCUGUGUUAUAUUUCUGAGCAUAUGUCUCUAGCCCUAUACAUGGUUUCUAGUCCAAUGGGCUGCCUUGAGCUAAAUAAUAAAUACAUAAAGUAUGUGAUUGGUUAAAUAUCAAGCUGUGCUGCUUCUUAUUUAUAAAAAAUAUAUAUAGUUGCUGAACUGUGGACAUUUUUAAAAAUACAUUUAUCAGGUUUUUGUUACAGUAUAUUUUUCAUGUACCUUUCUGCAUGUAUUCAGUUUGUUCUGCUGAAAUACUUUUCCACAUAUGGACUGCUGUCCAUCACUUCACAACCUAUUCAAGCUUUCAAAGUCAAAAUGAAGGUCAGACAUCUUGCAGUUGUGACAUUAUGUAACCCUGCAUAUACCCAUUGACUGUGCAUGGAAUCAUAACGCAAAAUGCCUAAAGCUGUUGGCCAUGUACAUCUCAGCUCUCGCCUCAGCUUGAAGUGCAAUGCAAAUGCUACAGAUUUGGUUUGGCUGAUAUAAUCAAACCAGUUUUGGUGAUCACGCCACAUGUCACACUACUUAUGUCAUUAGAAAUUCCAAAGCAACAGUACAUACACGGAGGAAAGAAUGAAUGAAAAGUAGAUGCAGAUGAGCUCAUGAUCCCGCCGCUGUUCCAGAGUCUCCCAUCCAUAACUGAUUUGAAAUCCUUCCUCACAUGGAUAUGUCUCAUUGAAACAGAGAAAGAAAUAAAAAGAGAAAAUGACAUACGCCCAUCACAGACAAUGACAGCCAGGAUGAAACACAACACAUUUUACAGGAGGAAGAGAAAACCAAGAAUGUCAGAAACAGUGAAAAAUAAGAAAAACGGGGAGACACUAGUAGGCGAUUUCUCACAAUUACGUAACUCCCAUUGUAUAACAGUGUGGGCGUCACCCACCUUCUGCACAACAGCAAUCCAUACAGUCACUCUGAUGUAUAUUUAGCGCGGCGCACCGACCUCACACACAUAGACAGACACAUCUCUUUCUGCUGCUGGUGAUUUAGUGCCACACGGAGCCUCCCUGCUCGAUGUAGUAACCUCUGAGUCAAGUCACUUACAAGUCAAAUCCAAAGUCUUUAAGCUGCUAGUCAAUCCAAAUCCUGAUGGGAUCCAGAGGGAAGAGGAAGGACAUUCUAGACACCUUCAGGAAUUGCACCCUGGGCUGUGCUUGUGCUGUCUGAAUACCAUCAUUUAAUAGUAAAGAAACAAUUCUUCACGUAACCUAUUUCCUCAAGCCAAAUCAUGCUAAACUUUGGUAUGAGGAAACAAGGAAAGAUUAGUCCCAGCUAAUUAUUCAGUUACUAAAUUUAGCGCAUAUUAUUUAGUAACUCCAGUUAAACUAAAAGGAAAGGUAUGUAGAUACAUUAGCAAGCAAUGUGAAAGUCUGAACCCGAUAAUGGACGAAUGAAUUUAAAGGGAUUUUUAACUACCUCAUCAGCAGCGUAGAUGUGAUUACCGCAAACCUGCAGUUCAACACAUUUUCCUGUUCGGAUACACGCACAUAAAACCUGUUUACUUGAAGCUCAUUUACAAAGGAAGUCUAUGGGGAGUUGCUGAAUUACAUCAGUAGAGGUGCGAAUGUCUUCACAAAGAAAACUUCAACACACAUCAGUAAUUACUGUGUAUGAUCUUAGUACAGAAACGAUAACAUAUCAGAUUGAGUGUAUUAAUAUAAACCUGUGAUCUGAAUUGCAGAGCUGCUGUAGAAAAUAGGAAAUGAACCUUCUGGCCAAUCCGAAUCAAGAAUUUAACAGCAAUGUGAUAUAAUUAGUUUUAUUUAACUUCUAAUCGCUACAUUGAUUUAGUCAACUGAUAAAUCACAAUGUUUUUUCCUCUAAUACUCCCAUAUUAGAACAGAUGGAAGAAAUUGGAAACAAUUUCAUAUAAGUAUUCAGCAUCAACGUUUAUUGAUGGAAUUUGAGGCUGUUCUGUGUUUUCAGCACUUUUGUGGAUGAAUAUUAGUGAACUGAAUCUCAGAUUUCUUCUCCUGUGUUUGCUUUUAUAAUAUUAUAAUGAAGUAGUAUAACAGUGUGACCCAACAUGCAAACAUGCCACAUUUCCCAUCUUGCCACUCAGAAGGUACACAGGUCACACACACACAGCACCAUCUCAUCCAGUAUACUGUGUGUGUGUGUGUGUGUGUGUGUUUUUUCCUGUAACCCUGCAGGCUGGUGAGGAACUUCUCCCACAUGAUCAUCAGCAUCUAAGCUGUGAUCUCGCCUCAUAUUUUUAGCAACAAAGUAGCACCUCUCGAAGAGCUCACAGCUCUCACACUCGCCAUGGAGGAGAGAUUCCCGUUGCACACGCAGUGGAAACACUACACAGCGAAUGUGUGCUGCAAGAGGAAGUGAAGAGUAUUUACUGAUUACUCUGUACUCAGCACCUGCUGUGCUCCACACUUUUUUUUUUACCAUGAGUGCAGGUGUUUUGAUUUAGUGAUUAAUUACAUCAGCAAUGGGGAGCAUCAAAAAGGUCGCAGUACACCAAGGGACUAGCAUGUCUAUUUGCUGAUCCAAAGGUAUUGCACAAUACAAAGUCAGGAUAUUGAAGUGUGCUCAUUUUCAAGACAAAGAAUUACACAACAGCAUAGUCCGAGACUCAGUGGUUAUCCAGCUCUGCUUGCUAAACCCUGUGCUUUUAAGUGACGUCUUGAUAGCGUUUAGCAGCCAGAGUCCAGAACAAAGCUAAGCCUACAAUUUUCCCUCGUCCCUGCAGAUCUGUGUGUGUGUAUGUGUGUGUGUUUGUGUGUGCGCUCUCAAUCUCUGGCCAUUGCAGCUCAGUCUCACGUCUAUGAAUCUAAUUUCCCACUUACACCUUAUAAAAAAAAACCUUCACCCUGAAAUACGUUAGAUCUAUCCAUCCAUUUUACAUACUGCUUAUCCUACACAGGGCCGUGGGGAGCCUGGAGCCUAUCCCAGGAAACUUGGGGCACAAGGCAAGGGACACCCUGGAAGGGGCAACAAUCA